GAGACACAAGUUUUUAUGCAUCAGAUUGACAAAGCUUCGAUUUAAGUGUGAUGCAUUUGUAUAUGAUUGUUUUCCUUUGGCUUUCCUCUUGAAUCCAUUGCAGUGUGUUCAGCUAAAUUACUGUACCAUUUUUGCAUUUUACAUGAGAUUUUUAGUCCGCCAAAGUUGUCUUGGAAUAGAAGUCAGCCUACCUUUUUUUUUUUGCUGUAAAUUUUGGUUUGAGAAAUUCGACUCGUAUGCUGGAAAAUACGGUAUUAACUGAAAAAUGAACUCCCUUACCCCAAAUCCCCCAGAAAAACAGAACCCACAAAAGAAAAUCAAAUACAAGAAAUUUUAUUGUAUGAAUUCAAAGUGGGACACAGCUACAAAACGUUACUCGUAUUAUCAACCAAGAAUUUAUCCCGUAGGACCGUCAAUGAACGUGAAACUCAACAUUAUCUUCAAAAUUUUCUGAGAGGAAACGAGAGCUUUGAAGAUGAGAAAUGUCUCGGACGACUUCCAGUUAUUGACAACGGCCAACUGAGGCCAUUAUUGUGACGGAUCCACGCAAAUCAACUCGAAAGGUCAAUGGUUCAACAAUAUCAGUUCAGACAAGUAGUUCUAUAUAUUCCUUCACAAGGUUUUUUGUACACAUUAUCGCAAUUAUAUUUUCUAACACAUUCUAUAUUGU